rnacentral:rRNA from 1 species
GAGUUUAAACCGGCGUGAGCCAGGUUGGUUUCUAUCUUUAAUAUUUUAAUAAAUUUUAGUACGAAAGGACCAAAUUU